AGGGGUAUAGCUCAGUUGGUAGAGUGGCGGUCUCCAAAACCGCAGGUCGUGGGUUCGAGUCCCUCUGCCCCUGCCA
rnacentral:tRNA from 1 species